AUGCAGGUGGUUUGUUUAAGUCAGAUGUGAAAGCCCGGGGCUCAACCUCGGAAUUGCAUUUGAAACUGGCAAACUAGAGUACUGUAGAGGGGGUAGAAUUUCAGGUGUAGCGGUGAAAUGCGUAGAGAUCUGAAGGAAUAACCCGGUGGCGAAGGCGGGCCCCCUGGACAGAUACUGACACUCAGAUGCGAAAGCGUGGGGAGGCAAACCAAGGAGUUAGUAUACCCUCGGUAG
rnacentral:rRNA from 1 species